CCUGGCGGCCUUAGCGCGGUGGUCCCACCUGACCCCAUGCCGAACUCAGAAGUGAAACGCCGUAGCGCCGAUG
rnacentral:rRNA from 2 species